AUACGAAGGGGGCUAGCGUUGUUCGGAAUUACUGGGCGUAAAGAGCGCGUAGGCGGAUUGGUCAGUUAGGGGUGAAAUCCCAGGGCUUAACCCUGGAACUGCCUCUAAUACUGCCAGUCUUGAGUUCGGGAGAGGUGAGUGGAAUUCCUAGUGUAGAGGUGAAAUUCGUAGAUAUUAGGAAGAACACCAGUGGCGAAGGCGGCUCACUGGCCCGAUACUGACGCUGAGGCGCGAAAGCGUGGGGAGCAAACAGGAUUAGAAACCCUAGUAGUCC
rnacentral:rRNA from 1 species